ACCUGCUCGCAGCACCCUGCUGUCUUCCCGGUCCGGCCCGCUGCCCGCGGCGCCAGCACCAUGCAUCUGUGGAACCCUCCAUUCUGUGGAUCAGUAUCUCAACAUCAAACUAACUGACAUCAGUGUCACAGACCCUGAGAAAUACCCUCACAUGUUAUCAGUGAAGAACUGCUUCAUUCGGGGCUCAGUGGUCCGAUACGUGCAGCUGCCAGCAGAUGAGGUCGACACACAGUUGCUACAGGAUGCGGCAAGGAAGGAAGCCCUGCAGCAGAAACAGUGAUGGCUCCUCCUCCUCUUCCCCUCCCUCUUUCAUUGGUGACCCAUAACCCCAAGUCCCAGCCCAGAACCCCUAACCCCCAAUACUUGAAGGGGUUUUGUUUUUUUACUAAUGAUGGUUUUGUGGGUUUUUUUUUAAGGGAUGAGUGGAUGAGAGGAGUAAUAGGGAACAGCUAUCCUCUCUUGAGAAGGGGAGGAUAAGUAGGCUGGGAAACUUCAAAGCCUUCCCAGUCCCCAGCACAUGCCUUUCUCACUACUUCUCUGGAGAUGGUAGGAGAGUUUCCUAGGUCUUUCCAGGGCAGCAUGUGAUUCAUUUGGGGAUGGAAGGAAUCUGUCCCGCAUCGGGAAUAAAAUUUAUGAUGCAAA
rnacentral:sRNA from 1 species